rnacentral:rRNA from 1 species
UCAAUAAGCGGAGGAAAAGAAACCAACAGGGAUUGCCUCAGUAACGGCGAGUGAAGCGGCAAAAGCUCAAAUUUGAAAUCCUUCGGGAGUUGUAAUUUGUAGGUUGGGAGACCCCGCGGCUAGUGGCACCAAGUCCCUUGGAACAGGGCGCCUUAGAGGGUGAGAGCCCCGUAGGUACCACAACACCGUCUUGUGUCUCCUCUCCAAAGAGUCGAGUUGUUUGGGAAUGCAGCUCAAAGUGGGUGGUAAAUUCCAUCUAAAGCUAAAUACCGGCGAGAGACCGAUAGCGAACAAGUACAGUGAUGGAAAGAUGAAAAGCACUUUGAAAAGAGAGUGAAACAGUACGUGAAAUUGUUGAAAGGGAAGGGCUUGCAAGCAGACACGGCCUUCGUGCCGGGCCAGCAUCGGUUGCUAGGGGUGGAUAAGGAACAAGGAAUGUAGCUCCUCGGAGUAUUAUAGCCUUGCGCGAUACACCCACUGGCGACCGAGGCCUGCGGUAUUCUUUACCUAGGAUGCUGGCGUAAUGGUUGCAAGCCGCCCGUCUUGAAACACGG